AACGAACGCUGGCGGCAUGCCUAACACAUGCAAGUCGAACGAUUGCCUUCGGGUGAUAUUGGCGCACGGGUGCGUAACGCGUGGGAAUCUGCCCUUAGGUUCGGAUUAACAUCUGGAAGCGGCUUCUCAUACCGGAUGAUAUCCCGAUAUCAAAGAUUUCUCGCCUGAGGAUGCGCGCGCGUUGGAUUCGUUCGUGGGUUGGGUAAACGCCUACCAAGCCGACGAUCCAUAGCUGGUCUGAGAGGAAGAUCAGCCACACUGGGACUGAGACGCGGCCCAGAAUAUUACGGGAGGCAGCAGAGGGGAAUAUUGGAAAACGGGCGGAAGGAUGAACCAGCAAGGCUGGGUGAGUGAUGAAGGCCGUAGGGUAGUAAAGCUGUUUUACCCGGGAAGAUAAUGACUGUACCGAGAGAAUAAGCACCGGCUAACUCCGUG
rnacentral:rRNA from 1 species